ACCGCUGUAGCCUAGUUGGUAGUGGCGUCGGCAGUACAGAUGCUGAAGGUCACUGGUUUGAAUCUUGCCUCCGCGGUG